GGUUGUAUAGUGUAGCGGUUAUCACUCCGGAUUCUGAUUUCCUUCAGAACAUUCCGGCAACCCCGGUUCGAUUCCGGGUACGACCU
rfam:Neurospora crassa OR74A linkage group IV, whole genome shotgun sequence.